rnacentral:misc_RNA from 1 species
GGCGUCUGUCCAGACAUCGCUUGAAGCCAAGUUUGGAGGAGCCAGACAAGUGAGUCUUCAGACUCAUUAAAAAGCAAAGCACAUCCAAAAAGAACAGGCUGUGCAUGAUGAUUUAAGCCAGUGAAAGUAGCAAAAGGUACCCUAUAUCCGUUAGCUCGAUAGGAAGUAUCCAAUUUGAUACUAUCCCCAAAAUAAUGAUAGUUCAUUCUGGCAGUUGCAUCGGCCCAAAAAAUGUUUCCAUUAGAAGAUCCAAUAUCACCCUGAACAGCAUAGAAAAAUGCUGGACUUUCAGCCUGCAUUCGCCUCAGAUAGUCCAACACAUGCUGAACCCCUCCACCAACGAUUCUUUGUCCGCUAUUCAUUAGUCGUCCCCCAAAUUUCCGAUGCAGUACAC